UACGUAGGGUGCAAGCGUUGUCCGGAAUUAUUGGGCGUAAAGAGCUUGUAGGCGGUUUGUCGCGUCUGCUGUGAAAUUUCGGGGCUCAACCCCGAACUUGCAGUGGGUACGGGCAGGCUAGAGUGUGGUAGGGGAGACUGGAAUUCCUGGUGUAGCGGUGAAAUGCGCAGAUAUCAGGAGGAACACCGAUGGCGAAGGCAGGUCACUGGGCCACUACUGACGCUGAGAAGCGAAAGCAUGGGGAGCGAACAGG
rnacentral:rRNA from 1 species